rnacentral:rRNA from 1 species
UAACAAGGAUUCCCCUAGUAACUGCGAGUGAAGCGGGAAGAGCUCAAAUUUAAAAUCUGGCAGUCUCCUGGCUGUCCGAGUUGUAAUCUGGAGAAGCGUUUUCUGUGUUAGACCGUGUACAAGUCUCCUGGAACGGAGCGUCAUAGAGGGUGAGAAUCCCGUCCAUGACACGGACUACUAAUACUUUGUGAUACGCUCUCGAAGAGUCGAGUUGUUUGGGAAUGCAGCUCAAAAUGGGUGGUAAAUUCCAUCUAAAGCUAAAUACAGGCGAGAGACCGAUAGCGAACAAGUACCGUGAGGGAAAGAUGAAAAGCACUUUGGAAAGAGAGUUAAACAGUACGUGAAAUUGUUGAAAGGGAAACGCUUGAAGUCAGUCGCGUUGUGCAGAACUCAGCCUUGCCUCGGCUUGGUGUACUUUCUGCACAACGGGUCAACAUCAAUUUUGGCCCAUGGAGAAAGGUGGGGGGAAUGUAGCGCUGUUUCGGCAGCGUGUUAUAGCCCUCCACUGUAUACAUGGGCUGGGAUUGAGGAACGCAGCACGCCCUUGUGGCCGGGGGUUCGCCCCACGUACCGUGCUUAGGAUGUUGGCAGAAUGGCUUUAAGCGACCCGUCUUGAAACACGGACCAAGGAGUCUAACAUGCUUGCGAGUGUUCGGGUGGAAAACCCUUGUGCGUAAUGAAAGUGAAAGUUGGGAACCUCCGCGAGGGGGUGCACCGACGCCCGGCCCUGACGUUCUCUGACGGUGCUGCGGUAGAGCAAGUAUGCUAGGACCCGAAAGAUGGUGAACUAUGCCU